GUGACAAAUGUGCACCCAACACCCUACAGAAAAGAAGAACCAUAAAAUAAUUAAUUAUUCCAUUGUAACUCCUGCCUGGAAAACAUCUGAAAGAAGUCACUAGAUUCAGCCCACAUUCAAGAUGAGAAAUACCAGAAGGCAGAGAACACUGAGGCUGUUUUAGAGGCUGUCAACCCCAGGGAGACAGACAGCAAAUAAGUAAGCAAAUAAAUAAAAAUGGAAGGUGAUAAUAAGUGCAAUGAAAAGAAAUGAAGCAGAGUAAAGAAUCAAGAGUAGCAGUUGAGGGGAUGCUUGGAUGUUUUCACACCACUCUGACACAUGGAUGGAAGGUUAGAAGACAACAAAGGAAUGGGCUGGGAAGGACUCCAAAAGCAGAAUCAGAGAUUAUAUCAUUCCUUGGAAAUGGAGAAAAGGAUCAAAAAAGCUGAAUAAAAGGCAAACAUGGAGGAACAGAGUUUGGAGCAAUACCCUGACUUACAUUCAGUACUGUUAAUGGCUCCAGCAUCUUGAAACAAACCAAUUUUGGAUUUUCAGAUAAUUAAGAACAACUGGAGGAAGCAGAAUCCUCUCAAAGGUAUGGCCACCAACUACAGUGAUUUAAAUAUCCUGGAAGGGACCUCAGCUUCAUAUUUGUGACAUUGAGCAGAAUACAGACAAAUUGUCAGGCAGUUGGGUGGGAUGAAAAAGAUGGGACGACAGCCAACACU
rnacentral:lncRNA from 1 species